rnacentral:rRNA from 1 species
AACGAACGCUGGCGGCAUGCCUAACACAUGCAAGUCGAACGAGACCUUCGGGCCUAGUGGCGCACGGGUGCGUAACGCAUGGGAACCUGCCCUUAGGUUCGGAAUAACUCCCCGAAAGGGGUGCUAAUACCGGAUAAUGUCUUCGGACCAAAGAUUUAUCGCCUUUGGAUGGGCCCGCGUUGGAUUAGCUAGUUGGUAGGGUAAAAGCCUACCAAGGCGACGAUCCAUAGCUGGUCUGAGAGGAUGAUCAGCCACACUGGGACUGAGACACGGCCCAGACUCCUACGGGAGGCAGCAGUGGGGAAUAUUGGACAAUGGGCGAAAGCCUGAUCCAGCAAUGCCGCGUGAGUGAUGAAGGCCUUAGGGUUGUAAAGCUCUUUUACCCGGGAUGAUAAUGACAGUACCGGGAGAAUAAGCUCCGGCUAACUCCGUG